UGUCCAGGGAUGGGAAUCGAACCCACAAUGUUCCGCUUACCGGGCAGAUGCCAUGUCCACUUUCCCAUCCCUGGAC